GUACUGUGCGAACGUUAUUCGGAAUCACUGGGCUUAAAGGGUGCGUAGGCGGCUGGAUAAGUAGGGUGUGAAAUCUCUCGGCUCAACCGAGAAACUGCGCUCUAAACUGUCCGGCUUGAGUGAGAUAGGGGUGUGCGGAACUUCCAGUGGAGCGGUGAAAUGUGUUGAUAUUGGAAGGAACGCCGGUGGCGAAAGCGGCACACUGGGUCUCAACUGACGCUGAGGCACGAAAGCCAGGGUAGCGAACGGGGGAUUAGAUACCCCGGUAGUCCUGGCCGUAAACGUUGAGCACUAGUUGGGAGGGGUUUCGGCCCUCUUCGAACGUAGCGAAAGCAUUAAGUGCUCCGCCUGGGGAGUAUGGUCGCAAGGCUG
rnacentral:rRNA from 1 species